UCAGGCUAUCCAGUGGUGCCAAUGCCACUGACAGGCAGGAAGAUAAGUCUCCUGCCCAGAUAUCUGUGGACAGUCUCCUCCACAAUGAUAACAAAAUAACCGACGAACAGGUGGAAUAUGACAAGGAGGAGGGAUACUAUUAUGAACACGGUGAAGACGACCAUCGGUCUGGGGAUUAUGGAAUGCAAUUUCCAAGAGUGGCAUUUUCCACCCAACCGAAAGAUCUGCCGGUGCCCCCCUUCACAGACAGGAGAAGGCAGGGCAAGAGAAAGGGCAAUGGUAAGAAGAGGAACCCCUGUCUAUAUGUGGAUAUAUUCAAAUAAACAACAAUUUUGUACUA